GACGUAGGGCGCGAGCGUUGUCCGGAUUUAUUGGGCGUAAAGAGCUCGUAGGCGGCUUGUCGCGUCGUCCGUGAAAACCUGCAGCUCAACUGCAGGCUUGCGGUCGAUACGGGCAGGCUAGAGUUCGGUAGGGGAGACUGGAAUUCCCGGUGUAGAGGUGAAAUUCGUAGAUAUCGGGAGGAACACCGGUGGCGAAGGCGGCGACCUGGGUGGAUACUGACGCUGAGGUGCGAAAGCGUGGGGAGCAAACAGG
rnacentral:rRNA from 1 species